ACUGCCGCCACGAGACGGAAUUCGUGGUUAAAGGGUGUAGGGAAACCGAAGCCCGACAGUACCGCAAGGCCCCGGCCGAGCGGAUAGUGCAGGUAAUCAAGCUGCCUAGAAAAGCUCCUAAGCUUCAGAUGCAAAUACCAGUACCGUAAGCCGACACAGGUGGUCGAGGAGAGUAUCCUAAGGCGCUCGAGUGAUUCACAGCUAAGGAACUCGGCAAAUUCGUCCUGUAACUUCGGGAGAAGGGACGCCUACCCUCGCGAGAGGGAGGCCGCAGUGAAGAGGCCCAGGCGACUGUUUAGCAAAAACACAUGGCUUUGCGAAUUCGAAAGACGACGUAUAAGGCCUGACACCUGCCCGGUGCUGGAAGGUUAAGAGGGGGGGUCAUCCGCAAGGAGAAGCUCUGAAUCGAAGCCCCAGUAAACGGCGGCCGUAACUAUAACGGUCCUAAGGUAGCGAGAUUCCUUGUCGGGUAAGUUCCGACCUGCACGAAUGGUGUAACGAUCUGGGCACUGUCUCGGCUGUGAGCUCGGUGAAAUUGUACUGCCGGUGAAGAUGCCGGCUACCCGCAAUGGGACGAAAAGACCCCGUGAACCUUCACUACAGCUUUGCAUUGACAACGGGCCAGGGAUGUGUAGGAUAGGUGGGAGGCUGCGAACCGGUAUCGCCAGGUAUCGGGGAGCCAGCGGUGAAAUACCACCCUUCCCUUGCUUGUUGCCUAACCCCGCGAGGGAGACAGUGCAUGGCGGGUAGUUUGACUGGGGUGGUCGCCUCCAAAAGGGUAACGGAGGCUUCCAAAGGUCUGCUCAGCACGCUUGGUAACCGUGCGUAGAGUGCAAUAGCAUAAGCAGGCUUGACUGAGAGACUUACAAGUCGCACAGGUAGGAAACUAGGGUAUAGUGAUCCGGCGGUACCGCGUGGAAGGGCCGUCGCUCAAAGGAUAAAAGGUACUCCGGGGAUAACAGGCUGAUCUCCCCCAAGAGCUCAUAUCGACGGGGAGGUUUGGCACCUCGAUGUCGGCUCGUCACAUCCUGGGGCUGGAGAAGGUCCCAAGGGUUCGGCUGUUCGCCGAUUAAAGUGGCACGCGAGCUGGGUUCAGAACGUCGCGAGACAGUUCGGUCUCUAUCUAUUGCGGGCGUUAGACGUUAGAGAGGGGCUGGCCUUAGUACGAGAGGACCGGGUCGGACGAACCUCUGGUGCACCUGUUGUGACGCCAGUUGCAGCGCAGGGUAGCUAUGUUCGGAAGAGGUAAGCACUGAAAGCAUCUAAGUGCGAAACUCGCCUCAAGAUGAGACGUCUUUAUAAGGGUCCUGGGAGACGACCAGGUUGAUAGGGUGUAGGUGUAAGCGUGGAGACAUGCUCAGCCAAGCACUACUAAUUACCC
rnacentral:rRNA from 1 species